UUUCCGUAGGUGAACCUGCUGAAGGAUCAUUAAUGAGUUGUCAUGGGGUUCGAUGCUGGCAGCCAAUUUUUGGAUGCAUGUGCUUGCCCUAACAAUCAUCUUCCAAACACCUGUGCACAUUUUUGAGGGAGUCUUGAGUUGGUUGCCGCUCUUGGGUGAUUUUCUCACAUUCCCUUAAAUCAUUAUACGCUAUUAACAAUGUUGAACGUGCUCUGUGCCGCAAGGCUAUUAAUAUAAUACAACUUUUAACAACGGAUCUCUUGGCUCUC
rnacentral:misc_RNA from 1 species